CUCUCUUUCUGUGGAAUGCUUUAAUUUAGAAAGUCGACGGCACAGGAUCACUUUAAACUGCCUAUGAUAUCAGAAAUCAUACAACUUUUCGUUUAUUAAAUUUUGAUCAAUUAGCAAACUGUUAUUAAUAUUUUAAAUGAUUUUAACUAUGGCCACAAUCAUCUAUUUUAAUGAAUUUUUUUUUUAUGGCAUACAAAAUCUCAUGUUUCUAUGAUCUGAUGUUUGAUUAACUAUUUUUAAACUAUAUAAGUUUACUGGUAUAAUAAGUUGUGUGUAAGAGUUGGUAUGAAUGAGCUUGAUAUAUAUUAAUCAAUUUAUUUCCAGGUUUUUCAGAUUAACUUCAUAAUUAGUGAUAAAAAUACGCGAACAAAUUCUUCGUAAUUUUUUUUUAAAUCGGUUGCGUCUUUCAUGUAUUAAGAUUACAUUAAUUAUUUUGUGAUUUUAAAAGCCCUUCCUAUAUUAUCGUUGAUCAGAAGGUACGGCGUCGGGUAAAUUGUGCAAUUAUUUUUCAAACAAUGUGUUAAAUUUUCACGGUAAAAAAACUCAUUUCUAUAGAAUCGUUUAUCGAAAGACACGCUAACAUUUAGGAUAGACAAUUAGCGCGCAUUUUUGAAUUUUUUGAUUCGAUUGUGAGUAGCGGGACCUCGCGGUUACUCGGCAACGUGUUUUUCGGAACCGGGAAUCUUUGUUCUAUGAUUUGCAAUUGUUUCACGGGAAGAUUCGAUUUAAAUUGCGUUAGCAAAAUAUAAAUUAUCAUUCAAUUCGACCAUUCGUUUCCCGCGAAUCGUGGCGACAAAUAUUGUUUCAACGCGAUUGUUCAAGUCCUUCAGAUAACAUCAUAACUCAUCAGUCAUUAAUUGGUCGCUCAUCUUAUAAUAAUUUAAAAGUAUAAAUAGUCUCAGGUCAACUCUACGUAAAUAUAUAACGCUGAGUUUAAUAUUUCACCUUUUUAACACACAUAAUUUUGAUUCUAUCUUUCCACAGCCGGCUGUCUAAGAUUGAAUCAUUUAUGCUAAACUCAACACCAAAUAACCGGGAAUGGUCUCAUCCGCAUCGUCCGAUUGUUUGCCUUGAGAAUACAUAAUACAUCACCCUAUUCAACAAAAUUUAUUGAUUAUUGGGCCACAUCAUCAUCCUCUAUGAUGAAUCCUGGCCAUUACCCUUCCCCACUAACAAAAUCCCAAGUAGAAAUAGUUUUCCGGCACACGCGGGGGUGUGGAUAUCGUAUAGAACCCACCCUUGGUAGCAGCCUGUGCUAACUAACAUUCCCGUCCCAUCUCCUCGAGAUCUACAAACUGACAUGGCGGGCGCCGUUGGUGGCCAACGACUGUUUCCUAUUCGCACCGGCUCUAGUUUUGAUGAUCGUGAUGUUUUAUCUUUUCAGCGCAUUCAUGCAUGCUGUUGAUAAGGGAAACAUCAUUUGAUCGUUGAAGCGUGUGACCGGUUGUGCUGAUGGGAUAUUACCAAGGAUAUUACGGUCCUGUUCAGCAACGGAGAAGGACAACCAUGGGUGGUCUCUCAUGCUCAUGCUCAUUUUCGUCCGCGUGGUGAACUGUCAAAACAUUCGCCAUGCUCGACGUCGCUAAGAAUUUUGUUGCAGCAGCAUUUUCGGGCGAAACUAUUUUCAAUUUUGAUCCUUUGCUGGCCAGAACCUGCUACCGUUUAAGAAAAAGGUUGCGGGUGGAAACAUGGAACAUUAGGCAAAACAUCCAUGAUGAACUGUUCCGGGAAGCCGCUGCUUGUGAUGUUCUUGGCUGAACACUUUCGUUCUAGCAAAGAGGAUGUUCCCGGAGUGGAUCAAAACGUAGUGCGCAAGUAGUGAGUUCUCUCCAGUUGUGCCACCUUGAUGCCAUCUCCCGUGGGGUGGCCAACUCAUUGGAAAUGGCAAGCGUGAAGAUGUCAAGUGGAACAAAACCCAAGAACGAAAAUCCGGCGGAAAAUCGAAGAACAAAAACCAUUUUGAGCUGUGAUUUGAGUUGUGUCAUUAAAUUAUGAAGUGUAACAAUAAAAAACUUUAGUUUUGGACAGUAUUCACAGGCUUUAUUUAUUCCAAUAAGAAUUUAAACAUUCCGAUUAGAAAAAUUAUCCACCGAAGCUACAUUAAAUGUAAUAUUACACGACCUUAGAUGAUUGAUGGUCGUGUAAUUUUACGUCUUAUUCAACGCGACUUUAGGUCUGAUAUGAUGCUCCAGUUAUGUGCAUCUAAUAUAACAGAAAAUUACACGUAUUUUUCGUAGUGUGCAUACAAGACUUUGGUAUGAUUUCAUGGUAUUUUACCAUCUAUUACUGGGCAACCAAGGGCACAUUUUGGUCCCUGUUAUUUGCCCAAGUAAUACCAAAAUUUGGUAUUCCCGUGUUAUUUACCCCUGCUCGGGUUAAGGGGACAGUACAUGAGAAGCGAGCCGGGGAGAGAUCAAAAAGAGCGAGGAUCACCUCUCAAAUAGCUGGGCACGCUAGUGAUGUGACGUUACCCGAGACUCUCAACAUUAUCUUGUACUGCGAUAAGUGCUGUAAAAAAGACGCCGAAACCAGUGAAAGGUUUCCAGAAGCGAGGAAGGCCGAAGAAGAAUGAAGCUUCAGCGAUUUCUAUUCAAUGUUUAUUGAUCACUUUUUUUUUUACAAAUAAAUUUGUAUUCGUUACAAAAAAGGCAUUUGGGAGUUUUUUGCCUCCUGGACCGAGCUUGUUUGCGGAAAAUCGUGCAGCUAAUGGUGUAGCGGCAACAAAAGAAAAGUUAAACAGUAAGUUAGUUACAUUAAAAUUCACUGCAAGUUCAUCAAAAAUCUUUAUGCGGGCUGUCAUCAGUGUUAGGUUCUAAACGAUACAAUGAAGAAAUUGGUUUGUUUGGAUAUAUUUAUUCAAAUAUUAAACGGCUUCCAACAAACAUGUUUUAUUCGGUAUUUGAUUUGUUAAAAUUAGUAAUAAAUAAUUAUUUUAAGAUAUAACAGUUCAUUAUUCUUUUGUCAAACGCUUGAACGAUGAUCCAACCUGACUUCAGACUUAAAUACAUUAUCCAACAUUUUUGGACACUCUUCGCAAACGUCAAACCGUACAAAUUUGUUCCUGAGGCUUUUCCGGAAGAGAUCCUGAAAAAGAUCCGACAGCAACUUUGUACUGCCGUUUGCGGAGGGUGCCUAAAAGUUUAGUUAUGUCUAAGGCUACCAACUGUACGGUUUUUUUCCUUAGCAUACGGAUUUUUGACCCUUUUCGCUGAUUUUUAACAGGCCGGAUAUUUGUCCGGUUUUUUUUUCGUAGAAUAUGGAUUUGUACAGCAUUCAAUGUGAUAAUGACAACUUUUUUAAAUUGAAUUCCAGAGUUUUUUUUUUAAUUGGUCCUAUAAACAUAUGAAAGACAAUAGCUUAUAGGACCUUUUUAUAAAAAAAACUCUGGAAUUGUUUCUUUGAUUUAGCCAAAGCUUUUGCAAACUGAUUUUUUUCAUAUGUAUAACUUUCACUUUAGAAAGAUUAUUUGGAUAGUUUUCUGGAUUUGCUUCAGUUCAAAGUUGAUAAUCAAUAAUUGUUCUAUUCAAAUUCCUUACAAAUACAUUAGGGUGGUCCAAAUCCGGACUUUCUCGGGGCUACCCCCUGAAAUAAAAGAUUGACCCAUCACUAGCCUAAAUUCCAAAUUUGAGCUCAUUCUGUCCAAGGGAACCCCUCCCUCUAACUCCUUGAAAUUCGUAUGGGAAAAAUCGUCACAAUGUAUUGAGAAAAGCAACUGUUUCAGUUUUUUACCGGUAGAGGGCGCAAUAGUCUCUAGUUAAGUUGUUCAAAAUUUAAUGAACAUCUGAACAUUGAUAAAGAUUGGACAACUAUUGCGUUUCCCACAGGUACACAGUAAAAAAAAUCAUGGUAAUAUUACAUCUGGGAAGGGGUACAUCUUUUAUGUCCGAAAAAAUGUUUAAUAAAACAUCUGAAAACGCAUAAUUUUACCACUUUUCUGGUGUAAUGUCACUUUUUCAGUCUAAAUUGAGGUAAAAUUACAUCAUAUAAGAAGUAAUAUUCAACCUUCCACAUUUACACAUUUUUUAUUGUGUAAAAAACUGAAACAGUUGCUUUCCUCCAUACAUUUUGACGAUUUUUUCCAUACAAAUUUCAAGCGAUUAGAGGGAGGGG